UUGCUAAAAGUAAUUGUGGUAUAGAAAAUGUAUUCGUCUCAGAAGCUACUGAGGUGGCCUAUUCUAUCCUAGUACAGUA
rnacentral:snoRNA from 1 species